UACAGAGGUCUCAAGCGUUGUUCGGAUUCAUUGGGCGUAAAGGGCGCGUAGGCGGCGGGGUAAGUCGGGUGUGAAAUCUCAGAGCUCAACUCUGAAACUGCACUCGAUACUGCUCUGCUUGAGGACUGGAGAGGAGACUGGAAUUCCUGGUGUAGCGGUGAAAUGCGCAGAUAUCAGGAGGAACACCGGUGGCGAAGGCGGGUCUCUGGGCCGAUACUGACGCUGAGGAGCGAAAGCGUGGGGAGCAAACAGG
rnacentral:rRNA from 1 species